CCCUUAGAUGUUCUGGGCCGCACGCGCGCUACACUGAUGCAUUCAACGAGCCUAUCCUUGACCGACAGGUCCGGGUAAUCUUUGAAUCUGCAUCGUGACGGGGAUAGACUAUUGCAAUUAUUGGUCUUCAACGAGGAAUUCCUAGUAGACGUAGUUCAUCAGACUGCAUCGAUUACGUCCCUGCCCUUUGUACACACCGCCCGUCGCUCCUACCGAUUGAAUGCUCAGGUGAGCCAUUCGGACCUUCAUCAUGCCGGUUUCCGGUUUUGAUGAGGGAAAGUCUUGCGAACCUUAUCAUUUAGAGGAAGGAGAAGUCGUAACA
rnacentral:rRNA from 1 species